AUUGAACGCUGGCGGCAUGCUUUACACAUGCAAGUCGAGCGGCAGCGCGGGGCAACCUGGCGGCGAGCGGCGAACGGGUGAGUAAUGCAUCGGAACGUAUCCCGGAGUGGGGGAUAACGCAGCGAAAGUUGCGCUAAUACCGCAUAAGCUCUGAGGAGGAAAGCGGGGGACCGAAAGGCCUCGCGCUGCGGGAGCGGCCGAUGUCCGAUUAGCUAGUUGGUGGGGUAAAGGCCCACCAAGGCGACGAUCGGUAGCUGGUCUGAGAGGAUGAUCAGCCACACUGGGACUGAGACACGGCCCAGACUCCUACGGGAGGCAGCAGUGGGGAAUUUUGGACAAUGGGGGCAACCCUGAUCCAGCCAUGCCGCGUGAGUGAAGAAGGCCUUCGGGUUGUAAAGCUCUUUCGGACGGAACGAAAUCGCUCGCGUGAAUAACGCGGGUGGAUGACGGUACUGUAAGAAGAAGCACCGGCUAACUACGUGCCAGCAGCCGCCGUAAUAC
rnacentral:rRNA from 1 species